GCGCCAUUAGCUCAAUUGGAUAGAGCGUCUGGCUACGGACCAGGAGGUUUGGGGUUCGAGUCCCUUAUGGCGUA
rnacentral:tRNA from 1 species